rnacentral:misc_RNA from 1 species
AAAAUUCUCCAUUGAAAUUGCCAAUGAUAGUUCCUUCAUGUAAGCCAUUCUUUCUUGCAUGAUUACGUGCAGUUGAUGUGAGAUACGUGCCCUGCCCAACCCAUAUUAUUGAAGCAGCAAAACCAAGGUAGACAGAAGCAGGAACCAUUGUAAACCAAGUUGGCUUCAAAUUUGCAGCUAUGAACAACCAAUAACCAGUAGUCCCAA